rnacentral:rRNA from 1 species
UACGGAGGGUGCAAGCGUUAUCCGGAUUUACUGGGUUUAAAGGGUGUGUAGGCGGAUCUUUAAGUCAGUGGUGAAAUCUCCGAGCUUAACUUGGAAACUGCCAUUGAUACUAUUGAUCUUGAAUUUUGUUGAGGUAGGCGGAAUAAGUCAUGUAGCGGUGAAAUGCAUAGAUAUGACUUAGAACACCAAUUGCGAAGGCAGCUCACUAAGCCAUAACUGACGCUGAUGCACGAAAGCGUGGGGAGCAAACAGG